rnacentral:lncRNA from 1 species
UCUUCUCUUGCCCGCUGCUGUGUGAGACGUGCCUUUCACCUUCCUCCAUGAUUAUGAGACCUCCCCAGCCACAUAGAACUAACUGAAUAGUUGCUUUAAAAAGGUGAAAUGAGAUAGCCAAAGUAGAAUAUACUCACCCCAAAGUUGCCUCAGAGUUGCUGAAGUCACUCUUAUUCUCUCAUGUUUGCUCAGACCUCCACUUCAAGAACAGGGACAUGCAUGACAUUUGGUGCCAAAACCUGGGCAGGAAGACUGCUUCGGGAGACUGGUCCCCUGUCCUUGUCAUCACUGCGUGAGGAGAUCCACCUAUGACCUUGGGUCCUCAGACCAACCAGCCCAAGGAACAUCUCACCAAUUUCAUAUCGGUUACGUCUAUUUUUAAAGAAAACUGGAGCUGCCCAUAAUGCUUUAUUGGACAAAUAAUACUUCACUGUGAAAACUUUCCCCAACCACAGCCUCCACAAGAGCAU